UAAAUAUUACUGUUCGCAGUAUCUUGCCUGGAGUAUAGCACAGCUGGACUUUGUGCUGCUGAUCACAACCCAUGAUCUACCUCAUUGGCCAGUUGUCUAGUCCAUAAUUCAGCCUGUCUACGAGGAUGUUAUGGGAGACAGUGUUGAGAGACUUGAUAACAUCAAGAUAAACAACAUUCACUGCUUUCCCAUCUUUCACCAAGCUGGUCAUCUUAUUGUAGAAGGCUAGCAUGUUUGUCAGGCAUGAUUUCUCCUUUGCUGACUUGCUUCCGUUCGCCUUCUUAUGUAGUAUGUCUUGAGGUAGCUUCUCAGAAGACUUUUCCAUCAGUUUCCCAUAGGGCGAGGUGAGGCUGCCCAGCUUGUAGUUUGCUGGUUCUUCCUUUCAUUUUGCCAGAAAUGCAAAGUGUUUCCUCAGAAACACCCCCUCCUCACCAUGGCCAUGCAGAGAUAACCAGACUGGCCCUGCAAUGACACUGGGCAGCUUCCUGGCAUACCAUCAGGUCCCAGUCACUUAAAAAAAAAAAAGAGCUGUCUUAUGUAACUACACUGAUCAAUUUUUAUCUUUUACGAGAAUGACUAAGGUGAACGUCUGCAGGACAGGGAGAUUUCGAUGGCUUUCUUGGUUUGCAUUUUAGUACUUUGUCCUUAACUGGUAAACAGGAGAACUUAAUACCUAUUUAUCAACAGUAUUUAGUUACAGAAUGCCCAGACACAGUCUAGGCAAAAUUUACUUUUUCAAAUAUCCCUUUUAUAUUGAUCCGGUAACCCUUUAUUCAUGGAGCUUAAAUGAAUAUGUGAAUGAGCCCCACUCAAGGCAGGUCCUUUGUGUCUGAAAGCUUGCUGCUUCCCUCUCACUCCCAACUCUCUGUCAUUUGGCCCAGUGAAAGUUAUUAACAUCUGUCUCUCAAAUUGGCUAUCCCCGGACUUCUCCAGUAGUUUUACUAAACUUCCUAGUGGGUGGUGAGAAAGCCAACAAGACAUGAAUAUAAAGAAGAAAGUCGGAAAAGGGUGGCUAUUGUUUUUGUGGGGCUGAGCAAGCCUUGUCCAUGAUGGAAGUCCAGACCAAUGGGUGACCAGGCAGGUGUUUUUUCCUGUUAAAUUGUUUUUAAGCCAUGUUACAAAUGUGCACAUCAUUUCACUAAGAUUCCUCAGCCUCAGGAUGGAGAAGCUGACUUGAAAGGUGGUGUUACUCUGCAACUGAAAAAUGAAGCAGGACCGCCAUGAGAGUACUUUUCCUCCUAUAAAGGUCCUGUCCCUGAAGAAGGUGGAAGGAGUGCAUUGCAUAUUGCAUGUGGAAGAGAGGAUAACAGUGAGCAUGCCAGAGAUGUUAUCUGCCUCGUUUUAAUGCAUCAGGCAAAUCCAAAAACAUUGUGGAGUGGCCAUUCACCACUUUCCUUAGCAAUUGCGACUGGAAAUGACUUGCUAAUGAUUGAACUCCUCAGACAUGGGGCUGACCCAAAUCUGCCAUUGAGUGGAGCAGUAAGAAGUGCCCUGUGUGCCGCUGUCAGUACAGCGUAUGAAUAGCAGAGGACGGCAGCACAGAGGAUUGCCUUGCUGAGAUAACUUCUGGGUGUUUGUUGUUUUUUUCUCAAACCUCAGAAAACCAGAGAGUUCUGUCUCCUCUCUCUGGAAUGGAUAAGCUGAUUUCUCCCCACUCUCCCUGUGUCUGCUCCUAAUGCUGUUUAUUUCUGUCCUGAGGCACAGGUGUUUUGUAUGGAAAUUUGUUUUCAUGUUCAAGCAAAGAGGAUGAUAACUUCCUUGUGUAGAAAAGCAAAAGCUGCAUUAAAGUCAGAUGGGGUAGUUGUAGUGCCUCCAGUCCUACCAAAUCUGACUAUAACCUUGUUUAUGAACGCAACCAGCAUCCACAAGAAGAGAGAUGCGUUGUCUUUGUUUGUUAUUGUAAAAUAUUCGAUACCACUGGUGAUGAGUGAGCUUUCUCAUUCAUGCUUAGGUCAAUGGCCACAUUUGGCCUUGUGAAAACUAGAGCUUUUUCUCCUCCUCCAAGGGAGCACAGGGCUGAUCUUAUUCAGAGUGGAGGUGAAAGGCUGCAGCUGAUGGGUCCGGGAGAGGAGGGAAUUUCCUCAGGUGGGUUCUGCUCUGAACCCUCCUUCACUAGUUGUCUGUGCUUCAUUUGUUGCUGGAAUAUUGUGAGAUACCCAGAAACAAAUAGCUACUGCCUGCAAGAAGGUUUUACUUACAAAACAUGUUUAGAUUUGACAGUUCAACGUCAACUCUAAAGGGGCAGAAGAAAUGCAUGGUUUAGUGCACCAAAUGGUCUCACAAAUAGAGGUUGAGCUCUGAUGCUCAGUACUGUCUCUUUAGCUGUGGUAUGAAUGCAAUUUCUGGGAAAGUUUUCUUUUUGCUUGAAUGUGUAAUGAUUUGCUGUCUUCGGGUUGAUAAGCUGCUUGAAGCUGGUGCAGAUAGCCUUGCACCAGUUACUCUUCA